rnacentral:rRNA from 1 species
UGAGCAAUCUGCCCUUCUCAUCGGAAUAAGCGUUGGAAACGACGUCUAAUGCCGAAUACGACCUCCUUUCGCAUGAUCGGAGGUGGAAAGCUCCGGCGGAGAAGGAUGAGCUCGCGGCCUAUCAGCUAGUUGGUGUGGGUAAUGGCCCACAAGGCGACGACGGGUAGCCGGCCUGAGGAGGGUGACCGGCCACACUGGGACUGAGACACGGCCAGACCUCCGUACGGGAGCAG